GUUCAAGACAACCUCGGUUCAAAAGCCUAAUAUCACAAAGAGCAGACGACUUCACAAAGAGCAGACUUAGAACACCCUGUAUGGUUUCCCCAUGGUGCUCUUGACGUACAGGCAUCUCACCUGCAUAGCAUAUAUCACAAUAUGUUAUAACGACGUCCUUCAGAUUAUAUUAUAAAAUUUUCAUUAAGGCCUUGUUUAGUUCCCAAAAUUUUUCAAGAUUUCCCGUCACAUCGAAUCUUGCGGCACAUGCAUGAAGCAUUAAAUAUAGACGAAAAUAAAAACUAAUUACGCAGUUUACCUGUAAAUCGCGAGACGAAUCUUUUGAUCCUAGUUAGUCUAUGAUUGGAUAAUAUUUACCACAAACAAACGAAAGUGCUACAGUAGCGAAAUCCAAAUUUUUUCUCAAACUAAACAAGGCCUAAAUGAACAACAGGAACAAUUUUUAAGGUAUGUAUAGAUGCAACAGAGACCAAAGCAACACUCACAUUCUGCCAAUUCUUCUUCAGGAGGGACACAAGGAAGUUGACGCUCAUUUGGAUGUUCUGCUGGAUCUGCUUCUCCUCCAUGGACAAGUUACCGACGGCGACACCCAUGCAAAGGACCUUCUUCAGCUGAAACUUGACUGUAGCCUUAGUCUCGUUCACCUUGGAUUCCAGGGAUUCCUGGUGAGUUACCAGCGUAGGGAACUUGCCUGCAGUAGUGAUAUCAGCAUGGUUCAAUAAGAAUGGCGGGCAAUGCAGACCAUAUCUAGCAAAAGCUCGCACAUGCAGAGAUCCCAGAGUUUUGAGAAUGUGUCAUCACCAUAGGAGACAACACUGCAUAACUACUCUACAUCUUACAAGCUUAGCAUGCAAAGUAACAAUUAUGUCAGAAAUGGACUACUUGCCUGCCUUGUUGAGACCAGGGCCAAGGAGACGGGGAAUCUGCUUGAUGAUAGCCUCUGAUGCCAAGAAAGCAUGGUACUUCUUAGCAAGCUUCUUAACAAGCUUCUUGUUCUUGUUCAUUUUCUUGAGGGACUCAACAUCCAUGUAGUCAAGUCCCAUCUUCUCAGCCUGCAAAUGAAGUAAAAUGGUUUAUGUGAGGAAGAGUUCAUCCAGAUAGAAAGGGCACUUACAUUAUCUGAGCACACUCUCAAACUUCCAUACAGGUGAGCAUGUUUUGUAUAAACAGAUUUCAAUGCAAAUGGAAUCAAGUGCAAGAUUGGACUGACUCAUACAUGCCAGUCACAAUUGAGUAAUUCAAAACAUUGUUGUUUUUUUCAGUUCAAUGGACUACUAAGGUACUACCGUAAGCAUGUUCAACAUAUAAAUAAGUAUAUUUUCAAGCACAUCAGCAACUGCCUGCUUACCUCCUCAACGUGCUGGGCAUCACCAAGCAUGCACACCUUCAUCUUUGGACGAGGGAUGUGGGGCAACUUAACAGAGCCACUGAAACGCUUGUCCUUCUGUGGAUCAUAAUUCUUCAGACCAAUCUGAAGUUCAACAGUCUCGGUGAACUUCCUAUUCUUCUCCUUGGCAUCCCCAACGAUUUGGGAGAUGGCAUCCUUGAGAACCUCAGACUGCAACUUACUGCAAUAAUACCAGGGCACAGAAAUUAUUUGACAAAGAUAAUUUAUCUGGAUGGGAACACCUCUAGCAUUCAAAUUAUUAAUGAUAAUAGGGGUAAUUGUAGAAGGCAAAAACUGCAGAGUAAUUAAUCAUAAUAAGCAAACUAAGUGAAUCUAUCUCAAGUGUUGAGACAACAACCUGAAUCUAUCUCACAUCCAUUUGCAUUGUGUGAAUUGCGAACAAACUAACGGCUGGACCCGACUCCCAAAGAAUCAGAUUGCAAUAGGCCUGCUAACGGGGUCUAACCCAACCCCAAGCCAUAGCCAAUGAGUCAAUUGGUCUAGCCCAACUCUACCCAAAAAUCUAAAUCAAGCACCCACCCCACCCAGCCCCAUUAACUCAUGGAGCAUGCUAGCCAAUACUCUCAGGUUGCUGAAAGACACCCCACCCAGCCCCAUUAACUCAAGGAGCAUGCUAGCUGAUACUCUCAGGUUGCUGAAAGAUUCGUCCCCAGGAUGUUCUAAAUCAUAGAGAAAAGUAAUCCAGAUGAACUUGAAUAGAAAUUUCUGAGCAACACAUCCAAGAUCCAUCCACUGGUAACACAGAGCAGCAAUUGGAGAUAGUGGGAUACGAAUUUCAACUCUCACAGUUUGUUUAAAAAAAAUGUUUCUAAAGAAACAAGAGAAAAUGUCACAGAAAAGCCAAACUGGACGGCCAUUAGCAACGGCCAGCCAGCAUUAAAUCCUGCAUUUCUCUUGUAGGAAAGAGCUCAAGAGCUGUGGUGGAAACCAUGUGAUCACUUCCAUAUCACGCAGUCACCUCGCUUUCCAAAUCCAUCACUAAUCCGGGAAAAUAUAGUCAAAAAGAACAAAACAGACUGCAGCCAGAUGGAUCCAGAAAAACAGAACCAGUGCAAAGAGCGAUGCAACAUACAAAUGGAUAAAAAAAACAGAACUGCAGCAAAGAUAGGUUAGAGAAAUCGCUGAUGAAAGUGUGCAGUACAAGGGCUCAAUGGCAGUGCUCGUCACCUUCUAUGCAAGCUGCCAGCAGCGGCAGAUCAAGGCUGGAGGCAACCUGUGGGAAGAGACAACUGACAAGCACAUCCUCCCUAGCGCCAGCACCAAGCUCCUCCUGCCGCCCCUCCUCUCCAGUGUGGAGGGCCUCCCACAUAGCCUUGCCCACACUAGGAUCCAUGGGGGGCUGGUGCCACACCAGUAAUGCCACACAGCUCAGCCUCGCCACUGCCCACAGUAGCAGCGAUGCUGCCCCCGACCCUAGCUCCUAGGAAGCAGUCGGGGCUGAUAAAACCACUGAGUUCACACGCCAACCCACCCCAACUCAUGUUUCUUGUAAACCCAACCCGUUCCAAUCUAUGACACAGUAAAACAAGUUUCCACCCAUUUACAGCACACAUUAGAACCUGACCCCGAAAAAAAAUGUAACGCUGCCCCAUUAGCAGGCCUAGAAUGGAAAGACCAAGGCUACAUCAAGCAUAACCUAAUCAUAGCAUGAUACAGGUGCUCCUAGAUUUCUUAUCAUCCUUGGAUCAAUAACAUAGCUUAUAAUAAUCAAGUGAAACAGAAGACAAAUACAUAAGGCAUCGAUCUCCUAAAGGCACGAUUCAGCAAAAAAAGAUCCCUUGUAGGGAACCAAAUCCUUCCAUGGCAACCAACAAUCAUAGAAAAAUAUAGUGGGAUAUAGCGGCGCUAUAGCGGCAAAAGAGACUUGAAGCUAAGCUAUUCUAUUUUUGCCACUAUAACAAGUUUUACCGCUAUUGCACGCUAUAGCAUUGAUAUAGCCCGCUAUUGCCCUUCAAACACCAUGUUAUUGCACGCUAUAGCGCCGCCCGCUUAGCCCACUAAUUUGGUAUGUUGGACAAUUAAAUGCUAGACUUUCAUGAACCAUGUUGUAAAGUCAUAUUGCUAAUAUUACUUUGUGAAACCUUAGAAACCUAUUUGUGUUCAUCGAUGCCAAGUUUUAUUUUCAUCAAUUACUGGUGUUUUCCAUGUUUCUUCAUAAAAAUGCUAUUUGUCAUAGCGCUGUAGUACCUUCACAGCUGCUGAAAAAAGUUGCCUAUAUUUUCAAUAACCCGCUAUUUUAAACUUCGACAACAAUACACGAUUUCUAUCGCACUCUACCGCAAGAACUGAUACACGACACAGCAGAUGCGGCGAGAGAGAAAUCAGUAGUACCUCAUGGCUGCAACCGAUCACACAACUCCCUGUAGAAGGAACAACAAAAAAAAAAGAGAAAGAAGGGUCAGAUACGGUGAAAUGGACAACAUAUAGGGCACCGAAACAUGCGAUUUCGCGAAUCGAGCCGUCAUCAAGAGAGGAGGCGGCCAUGGCAAGCAUACCUGCUUAGGGUUUGGCCCGAGGCGAGCGACGGAGCGAGGCGAAAAGGGAAUUGAAACGGCGGCGCCGGGUGUUUAUAUAUGAGCGGGGAGCGGUGUCGAAGCAAAACCCUAGAACGAGCUCCCGAUGGAUGACGCGUGUUAAUCUUGGAACCGUCGGAUGUGCGGAUUCGGACGUUUUGGGCCAUUGGGCCUCUUCCAGAUGUAUGUGGGCCAUAUUUGUGGCUUUGCCACUGAUCAGGGCUUCCAAUAGUGACAUAAGGAAAAUGUGUUAUAGUCGAAUUUUCCUCAUAUAGAACUUUAAAAUCAAACAUUUUAACCUCUAAACUCUCAAGACUAUUCAAAUUACCUCCUGUGUUGAAGUGGAUUUGAACGUGGUUUCAUUCUAUUUUUCUUAAUAAAAUCCAAUAAACGUUUUUAAAAAAAAUAUAGACUUGGCUCUACAAAAAUGGGGGAGGGGGUAUCCAAAAAAUAUAGUAAAUUCUAACAUCAUUAUGAUUGAUAUAUAAAGAGGCUUUAAAAACUUUAUAUGACAAAAAUAUAAGAUGUAAUUAGCAUGAAUGCAACAUAUUUUAAUGUUGAAUGCAUGUAUGCUUUGCACUUGCGAUGGUUUUGUCUUAUGUUUCUUGUUGUGGAAAGUUUCAAAAAUGCAUUUAUACAUCGGUUACAAUGAUUUGGGAAUUUUCCGUAUUUUUAGAUUUAUAUAUUUCUGUUUUCCUAGAGCUAAAUCUAUUUCUUGGAAGAUGCUACAUAUAUGAGUUCUAAAUAUUUUAUUAGAAUUUGUUGUAUACUAAUUUAUACCUAUAAUUUUUAUCGGAAUUUUUAGAAACUUAAGGACAUUUUUCCAUGUUUAAAUAUAGGGUUUGUAAAAACACAACAACAAAUGUGCGUGAUCCUGGUAGGUAAAAUAGGAAAAGAAGCGUAAACAAAAUACAAUGACUGAUGUAAGUUAUUGUUUGAUUUGAUUAGCUGGAUGCAGCAAAUUCAUUUUAUAUAUAGAGAGGUGUGAGUUUCCCUAUGGAUUUCGAUCAUGUCCGGCUGCUUUACCAUGUCUAAGUCCUUGUUUUUUAAACUUCGAUUAAUAACAUGUUGUUUACAUAUAUAAUAUAAAUAAUAUAAUAAAAAAGACAGCAUUUUGCUUCCACAUUUUAUGGAGAGAAAGAGCGAUUUUGGGUCGUGGAAAAUAUCUGAGUUCCGAACUGGAGUUUGCAGAAAAGAUAAAAAGAACUUGAUUCUUUUUUUGCUAAACCAACACUUUUAAGAAUCAGACUACGUAUUAUCGCUAGACAUGUUGUUUUACAUACCUCAGUACAUAUAGUUGUAGAUUAGAAUUCCUAUUCAAGUUAUUUAUGAUCAGAGUUCUAUUAGAAUUAGGAUUUUGCCUCUAUAAUAUAUAUAUAUAUAUAUAUAUAUAUAUAUAUAUAUAUAUAUAUAUAUAUUAUAGAGGCAAAAUUUCAGCCUCUUUUUUGGUUGGAUUUUUUUUCAUCUGGCCAGAUUCUUAUAUGCACUCGCGUUCCAUCGCUGCCAGCACACUUGUUGCCUCACGCCCGCUCUCGUCCCUGGCUCAUCCCCCAGCCGGCGGAGCCUAGGCGAGGAUGGGAACAGCGCGCUCGCUCAGGCAGGCGGGCCAUCGACGCUUGCCCCGGCGGCGGCCCAUCCUGCUGCGCUCGAGGAGGCCCAGGCGGUGCAUCUUAAGGAGGACGCUGUCAGAAACGCGGAGGCGCGCAAUGACGAGCAGAUCCUCGAGAACAGCGUUGUAGUGCGCCGUGUCGAUCUCGGCGGCGGCGGCGGCGGAGCCCCAUGGCACGGCAACAGUAAGGAAGAUCAAGGUGCUACAACGGCAACGACGUCCAGCUUUGUUGGUCGUGGCAGCAACAGCAAGACGGCAGCCCAAUCACCUUGGUCACGGCGACAACUUUGUUUCUUCCCCAAUCACCUACACUUAAUUUGUUUGCCAAUCUCUUGCUAUAGAGUUCUUCCUAAUCGUUAGAAGAUGUUUCCGUUUCUUCCCCAAUCAUCUGCUGCUAUAUAAUUUCAUAGUGUGUGGCCAGAAUAUGCAAAGCUUUUGACUCCUGGAUAAAUAGAUAGAUAAACUGGUCAGAAUAUGGAUUGCAAUGACCUGCUGAAUAAGUUCAAUUGCUAAUUUCCCUAUAACUAAGUGCAUUUUUGUUUGCUCAAACCGUGCUGCAAGAAAAAAUAUGGGACCUACAUUCUAUUAUCAAUAAGUACUCUCUGUUAUGAACCUAACAUCAGAAAUCAUGAAUUGCUGCUGUUAUUUGAUAAUUUUCAGUUUACCAAACCAAGUACUACCUUGUUUUUAAGAUUCUGAAAAUAGAGAGCAUGCAUGUGUAACGGUUGUGUCAACUUACUUUGAAUUAUGUAUCCACUAUGUGGUUUCUAUUAGGCAUGAUAGGCAUUCAAGAAUCUAAUAGGUUUCUGUUAGGCAUGAAAAUUAGACAAACUGCUAAAGUGUUUUAGAGAAGUAGAGCAGUCUUGAAUUGUUCCUACUGAAAGCACUAUGACUUUGAUGUUGCUUGGUAGUGUUCAGUUUCAUAUAACUAGGCAACUGAAUUAGCAGUAUGUAACUUAUGUGCAUCAUUUUGAAACUUAAUGGCUUUGUGAACUAUUUUUUGUAGGGAUAAAGAUUAUGUGCCCAUAAACUGUUUCAUGUGGUGUUCAUAUGCUGAACUGGAUGUAAACCUUGACAAAGUGGUGUUCAUAUUGUGGUCACUAAAUUGAGAUGAUUAUCAACUGUUAUGCUUCACCUGAACUGUACACUGUGUCUAUAACAAAUCGAUGAAUGGACGACACCUACUCACGAUCUUAAGAUGUUCACGUUGCUGGCCCUAGAGCUGGAGGAAUUUACAGUCUCCAAUCAGCCAUAUUUGAAGGUUUAUUCUGGUGGAGACCUGUCGUGUGUGGCGAACCUCAAGAUUGGCCCGUGGUCACACAUGCAUGGCUACUCUGAUUACGAUGACAUGAACACUAAGCUUUUACCUCAUUCAGCGUUGCAGGUUCACCCGAUGUGCCUUGUUGAGCGUCUUGAAAUUCCACAGGUACGUGUAUACAUGCAUGAUAACAUAUGUCAUGAUAGUGGCCUACAAACUCGUCGCAAACUAAUAAAACAUUACAAGGGACGAACCAAAUGUAAACCAGCCCGGCCAUAUAAAUCUCAGUUUGAUUGUCCUUUAGAGAGGGCGGUCAGGUUCUUUGAUGCCUCAUCUGUCACAUACUCAUAUUUGAACCAUUGAUCCACCCAUAAGAAAUAAAGAUUUCUACUGCUAAAUUGUGAUGUAAUUUUGAUUAGAAAUUUUAUUAAAAGCUAGAUUAGCUAAAGGUUCAACUGAUAAAAUCCACCCAUAAGAAAUAAAGAUUUCUACUGCUAAAUUGUGGAUGUAAUUUUGAUUAGAAAUUUUAUUAAAAGCUGGAUUAGCUAAAGGUUCAACUGAUAAAAAAUAUGAAUUGAAAUAUUAAGUAGGUUUUUGUCUAAUCCAAUUUAAAUAAAUGUAUAUCUGGAAUCUCCUGAUUAGGACUAGCAUGUGAAAAAUCUAGAGAGGUCUUCUGUCAUAAUCACCAGAGGACAGAUCAAUCCUUGACAUGUUUGCAUAACUCCUUGUCGACAUUAAUCAUAGAUCAAAUACGUAUAUUUGUGGGUCCUAAAAGAUCACAAAACUCGAUAUUUUAACUAAAGGAACACAUGAAUAGUAUAAAAAUUAAUUAAAGUUAUUGUUUAUUGCAUCUAAAUAUUUAUGCGCUUUGCAAUAGGAGAAAAAUCCAUCAAAAAUAUAUUUUAAUUUGAUAGAGGCUUAGUAUUGUCAUAUUGUCGCUGACAUUAACUUAUAUUAUGGAUGUCAUGGUCAUAACAAAAUAAAUUAUAGCCUUCAAGUUUUAUGGAGUGAAACAUAAAUAAUAUAUAUAUCGAUCCUAUCGUCGUUUUUAUGAACAUGUUAGUUUUUUUUCUCUCGUCGCAACGCACGGGCAUGUUUUGCUAGUAUCAUAUAAAAUAGGAAUAGCUCUAGGCUGAUACAAAAUAGGAGGGAUCUAGAAUAGAUAUAGAUAUGAUGAAAAAGAAUAAAGCUGACCGGUUAAACUCCAAUCCGGAGCAUCUAAUAUGUAAACUGAUGGCCUCAAGCGGAGAGCCCGCUCCUCGCCGGCUUGCCUCUCCUCUGUUGAGACAGUGGUUGUUUGUGGCGUAGUUGAGGAGAGAAGAUGAGGUCGAGGAGGUAACGCUGAGGGAGGUGAAGGCAGCACGUCUUGUGCUCGCGCCGAGCUUGGCCCGUGUGAAGCGAGAGAGGAUUCUAUGAUGCAGCAUCUUAGAUGCUUUAAUCACCCGUGCGAGCCGGCCUCCUAAGAGCAACUCCAGCAGUGGCACCUAAAUCAGGGCCUCUACUUUUGAUUUGGGUGCUGCCUCCUAUUUUUAUUGGCUCAUAUUUUUGAUUCUACUCCAACAACGCCCCCCAAAUUGAGGCCCUCAAACCUAUUUCGCCAGACAAUGACAAAUGGGACCCGUUUGUCAUUGUCUCUUCUUCCUUUGUACAUGGAGCUCGCCGGAGAUGGAUUCGACUGGAGCUUGUGCUCGAGCUUGAGGGGCGUCGCGUCCGCACGGCGGAGUAGGGUCUCGCACGGCAGGGGGCAGCGCAACCACACGGCAAGGGGCGUCGCGCCCGCACGGCGGAGCAGGGCUCCAGCAGUGGGGCAGCGCGAUUGCGGGCGAGGGACAGUGCGCCCGUGCCGUGGAGCACGAGCUCACACGUCGGGGGGCGCCUACACCGAGGGAGAAGAGCUCGCGCCGAGGAGGGAGUGGCGCGCAGGGAGCCCACGCGGCGGAGAGCGGCAGGGUCACCGGUGAUGUCGCGGGGAAGAGAGCUCACCAGCCGAGGAAGGUGGGCCGCCGCGCCAGACGUGAGGCGGAUAGCCGCGCUCGUCGGAUGGGAGGGAGACGCGCCCGAGCAGAGAAGACCGUACGACGCGGGGCUGAACGAGCAGAUGGGGGCCGGUUUGUUGGGCCAACAGGAAUUGGGGCUGCAGAGAGGAUUUGGGGUCCCAACUAAAUAUAUUGGAGCUGCAGGGAGGAUUUGGGGUCCCAACUAAAUAUAUUGGAGCUGCAGGGAGGAUUUGGGGUCCCAACUAAAUAUGAAGUCUUGAGUAGAGAUCCUACUGGAGUAUGAUUUUUGACCUGAGCAUCUAUAUUUAGCUAUUAAGGCUUAAAUAGGGACUCUGCUGGAGUUGCUCUAACUGCGUCUAGUCAAACAAGGCAGGUUGCAGUUGCAACCGGCACGGUGGCCCGAGUGGGCCAGCGAAACAAACGCACCCUAAAAAGUCAAGAGCAUGCGCCUUGUUCAUUUAGGUUUAUAAACCGAAUAUGUCAGCGAUUGAUUCAGCAGUGUUUUUCUUUUAAAAAAAAAUUCUUAAAAAAUCAGCUAAAAAUACUUUCUGCCAUGGGUAUCAGCUCUUUAAAAAUGUUUGGAAAAAAACAUAUCUUUAAUUUUCUUUUUACAAUGCAUGAACACAACGUUAUGCAGCCAAGGACAUUUAACUAUCGCUACUAAGGUCUUAUUAUUUAGAUGCACCCAAGGUUCAAAAAAUUUAUAAAAUUUACCAUCACAUCGAAUCAAUAAAUAUAGAUAAAAAAUAACUAACUAUAACUUGUGAGACGAAUCUUGUAAGCCUAAUUAGUUUAUGGUUAAUCAAUAAUUGUCAAAUACAAGCGAAAGUGCUACAAUAUCAAACUUCAAAAACUUAUGUAUGCAUGGAUAUUUAUGAAUGCAUUAAUUAUUAGAAAUGGUGAUCAAUCUCCCCGAGGGCGGAGCAGCCAUGGUGGAAACUCAUGCUACCAUGAAAUUAGAAAAGAAAUGAGUUAUAAGACGCAUGUUAUAUUGAGCCUCAAGCAAUAUAUAUAGAGAGAGAAUACAAAGGCUUUAGUACCACUCCAAUAUCCUGCCAACCAAACAUACUCUAACAAGAGUUUUAGUUCAAGACAACCUCGGUUCAAAAUCCUAGCAUCAUAAUUCAUAAACAGCAGACUUCACAAAGAUCGAGCAGGCUUAGAACACCCUGUAUGGUUUCCCCAUGGUGCUCUUGACGUAAAGGCAUCUCACCUGCAUAAGCAUAUAUCACAACAUGUUAUAACCAAGUCCUUCAGAUUAUAUUCUAAAAAAUGUUCGUUAGAUGUAAAACAAAACAGGUACAAUUAUUAAGGUAAAGAUGCAACAGUGACUAGAGCAUCACUCACAUUCUGCCAGUUCUUCUUCAGGAGGGACACAAGGAAGUUCACACUCAUUUGGAUGUUCUGCUGGAUCUGCUUCUCCUCCAUGGACAAGUUACCGACGGCGACACCCAUGCAGAGGACCUUCUUCAGCUGAAACUUGACAGUAGCCUUCGUCUCAUUCACCUUGGAUUCCAGGGACUCCUGGUGAGUAACAAGCGUAGGGAACUUGCCUGCAGUAGUGAUAUCAACAUGAUUCAAUCAGAAGGGCAGGAAAUGCAGACCAUAUCUAGCAAAAGCUCUCAGAUGCAUAGCUCCCAGAGUUUGAAAAUGUCAAAUAGCAACACUAAUAAAACAUUUUAAUAUUAACACAUUGCUUUGAGAAUGUCAAAAAGAAACAGUAAUAAAACAUUUUAAUAUUAACACAAUGACAGGACAUUGGCUUUCAACAAGUACUAAGUAAUUAAGUCAUUAUCAAUCUUUGCAGGUAAGACUAACAUAUAGGAGGAACGCUAAUGCAUACCAUAAACGAAUGAAAACAGAAAAAUCAUGCAAAACUACGCACAGAAAUAUGAAACAGCACUGCAUGUUACAAGCUUAGAAUGCAAAUAACAAUUAUGUCAGAAAUGGACUACUUGCCUGCCUUGUUAAGACCAGGACCAAGGAGACGGGGAAUCUGCUUGAUGAUGGCCUCUGAUGCCAAAAACGCAUGGUACUUCUUGGCAAGCUUCUUAACAAGCUUCUUGUUCUUGUUCAUUUUCUUGAGGGACUCAACAUCCAUGUAGUCAAGUCCCAUCUUCUCAGCCUGGAAAUGAAGUAAAAUGGUUUAUGUCAGGAAGAGUUGAUCCAAGGGCAAUUAUACUAUCUGAGCACUCACUCAAACUUCCGUACAGUUGAGCAGGAUUUGUACAUACAGAUUUUAAUGCAAAUGAAAUCAAGCGCAAGAUUGGACUGAGUCAUACAUGCCAGGCGAAAUUGAGUAAUUCAAAACAUUGGCGUUUUUUCUGUUCAACAAACUACUAGUGUACUACUGUAAGCAUGUUCAAUAUAUAAAUAAGUAGAUUUUCAAGCACACCAGCAACUGCCUGCUUACCUCCUCAACGUGCUGGGCAUCACCAAGCAUGCACACCUUCAUCUUUGGACGAGGGAUGUGGGGCAACUUAACAGAGCCACUGAAACGCUUGUCCUUCUGUGGAUCAUAAUUCUUCAGACCAAUCUGAAGCUCAACAGUCUCGGUGAACUUCCUAUUCUUCUCCUUGGCAUCCCCAACAAUCUGAGAGAUGGCAUCCUUGAGAACCUCGGACUGCAACUUACUGCAUUAAUAUCAGUGCACAGAAUUUAUUAGACAAAGAUAAUCUAUCUGGUUGGGAACAAUACUAGGGAGAAUUGUAGAAGGCAAAAACUGCAGAAUAAUCAAUCAUAAUAAGCAAACUAAGUGAAUCUAUAUCAUGUGUUGAGACAACAACCUGAAUCUAUCUCACAUCCAUUUUCAUUAUGUAAAUUGUGAACGAACUAACUGGAGCCAACACCCAAAGAAUCAGAUUGGACUUAGGCCUGCUAACGGGGUCUAACCUCAACCCAACCCAUAGCCUAUGAGUCAACUGGUCUAGACAACAACCUGAAUCUAUCUCAAAUCCAUUUUCAUUAUGUGAAUGAACUAACAGCUGGACCCGACUUUCAAAGAAUCAGAUUGGAAUAGGACUGCUAAUGGGGUCUAACCCCACCCCAACCCACAGCCAAUGAGUCAACCUGUUAUGUCCAACCCUACCCAAAAAUCUAAAUCAAGCACCCACCCCAACCUGCUCCGCAACACCCACCCGCCAUUUAACCCAUGGAGCAUGCUAACUGAUGCUCUCUGGUUGCUGAAAGAUCCAUCCCCAGGCUGUUCUAAAUCAUGGAGAAAACUAAUCCAGAUGAACAAAAAUAUAAAUUUCCAAGCAAGGCAUCCAAAAUCCAUCCUCUGAUAACACACAGCAGCGAUUUUAGAUGGUAGGAUACAAAUUUUUACUUUCACACAGUUUAUUGAAAAAAUUUGUUUCUUCAGAAAACAAGAGAAACUGUCACAGAAAAGCCAAACUGGAUGGCCAUUAGCAACGGCCAGCCAGCAUUAAAUCCUGCAUUUAUCUUGUUGUAGAAAAGAGCUCGAGAGCUGUGGUGGAAACCAUGUGAUCACAUCCAUAUCACAGUCACACCUCAUUUCCAAAUCAAUCACUAUUCCAGGAAAAAAAAAGAGCAAUGCAGCAGAAAAAAAAGAACCACUGCAGAGAUAGGUUAGACAAAUCGCUGAUGAAAGUGCACAGGAUGAGGGCUUGAUGGCAGUACUCCUCGCCUUCCAUGCAAGCUGCCAGCGGCAGCGUAUGGGAGGAGACGACUGACAAGAACAUCCUCUCCUGCACAGAGGCGUGCUCCUCCUACCGCCCUCCUCUACAGUGUAGUGGCCCUCCAGCAGAGGGCUGCCCACACUAGGCUCCGUGGGGGGCUGGUGCCACACCAGUAAUGCCACAGCUCAGCCUCGCCGCCGCCCACUUGAGCAGCAACACGGCCCCACCCCUGGCUCCCCACAGACACAGUAGGGGCUGACAAAACCCACUUACUGACCCGCCCCAACUCGCGUUUCUUGUAAACCCAACCCGUCCCGAUCCACGACAUAGUAAAACAAGUUUCCACUCAUUUACCCACAGCACAUAUUAGAACCCAUACCAAAAAAAAGGGUUAAUGCCGCCCCGUUAGCAGGUCUAGAUUGGAAAGACCACGGCUACAUCAAGCAUAAUAAACUAAUCAAAGCAUGAUACAAGGGGGCUCCUAGAUUUCUUAUCAUCCUUAAUAUAGCUUAUGAUAAUCAAAUGAAACACAACUCAAAUACCUAAGGCAUUGAUCUCCUAAAGGCAAGAUUGAAGAUCCCCUGUAGGACCAAAUCCUACCAUGGCAAUCGACGAGACAACUACAUAUCACUCAAAUCCUACACGAAAUCGGCAUUUCUACCGUACGAACCGAUGCACGACACAGCAGAUGCAACGAGAAGGGGAAAUCAGUAGUACCUCAUGGCUGCAACCGUUCACUCGACUCCCUGUAGAAGGAACAACAAAAAAACAGAGAGGGGUCAGAUACGGUGAAACGGACAACAGAUAGGGCACCGAAACAUGCGACUUCGCGAAUCGAGCCGUCAGCAAGAGAGGAGGCUGCCAUGGCACUGGAAGCAUACCUGCUAGGGUUUGGCCCGAGGCGAGCGACGGAGCGAGAGGGAAGGGACGGCGGCGCCGGGUGUUUAUAUACGAGCGGGGAGCGGUGUCGAAGCAAAACCCUAGAACGAGCUCCCGAUGGAUGACGCGUGUUAAUCUUGAGACCGCCAGAUGCGGGUACGGACGUUAUGGCCAUUGGGCCUCUUCAGGAUAUAUGUGGGCUAUGUUUGUGGCUUCGUCACUGUUCAUGGGCUUCAAUUGCGAUCACGUAAGGAAAAACUAUUUAAGGCCUUGUUUACUUUUAAAAAAAAAAAUCAAGAUUUCUCGUCACAUCAAAUCUUAAGACAUAUGCGUGGAGUAUUAAAUAUAGAUGAAAAUAAAAAUUAAUUACACAGUUUGCCUGUAAAUUGUGAGAUUAAUCUUUUGAGUUUAAUUAGUCCAUAAUUGAAUAAUAUUUGUCAAAUAAAAACGAAAGUGCUACACUACUCAAAAACACAAAAUUUGGGAACUGAACAAGGCCUAAGCUAUUUCUGCUAAAAAACUCUUAACCUAUCGUUGGCUCAAAAAAACUCUUAAGCUAUCGUCAUAGUUGGAUUUUCUUUCUAGAACUUUAAAAUUUUUAUAGGCAUUUCAUAUCCUCUAAACUCCCAAUACCAUUCAAAUUACCUCUUGCCAUGGAUUGAAGUGGUUUUGAAUGUGGUUUCAUCCAUUAUUAAUAAAAAUCCAGUAAAUACUUGAUUAUUUUUUAAACCAUAAACAUUGUCUUAAAAAUUCUAAAAACAUCUAAGAAAAUCCUAGAUAUAUAUUGGAUGUAAAAAAAUCCAAAUAAAAUAUUUAUACAUUGUCAAAAUAUCUCUAGAAAUUUUUAAUUUAACUCUAUAAAAAUGGGGAAAUAUCAAAAACUAGAAAAUUCUGGAAACAUGAUGAUUGGUAUAUAAAUGGGCUAUGACAAAAACAUGAGAUGCAAUCGACAUGAAUAUGACAUAUAUUAAUGUAAAAUGCAUUUAUGCUAUGCACUUUGUAAUGGUUGUGUGUUGUUUUUUUAGAAAGUUUUCAAAAUACAAUAAGACAUCAAUUAUAAUGAUUUGUGUUUUUUCUAUAUUUUUGGAUAUAUUUUUAUUUUCCUAGAAGUAAAUCUAUUUUUGGAAGCUGCUAAAUAUACGAGCGAGUUUUUUUUUUUUUUGAAAUUGUUGCAUUUAAAUUUAUGCCUAGGUUCGAAAAAACGCUUCUUUGUUUCAGGGUUAAGACGCUUCCUUCUAGAACAAAGCAAUGUGAAACAUGGUCUAUGGUAGAUAUAUCCACGAGUGGUGUCAAAGAGAGCACGAGCAAAUGAGGCCAUUUAAUCCUAAAAGAAGCCAGACUAGUAGAGAUGUACCCCAUCCAUCCCAAAUCAUAAAGUCAUUCCAACUAUCUUAGAGAGUCAAAUCAUCUCAAGUUUGUUCAAAAUUAUAGAGAUAAUUACAAGGAUUUAUGACAUUUUGUAUUAUAAAAAUAUAACUAAUAAAAAAUCUAAUAAUACUAUAAAUGUUAUUAUUUUAUUAUAUAAAUUUGAUCAGACUUGAAAUGCUUUGACGACUCUUGAGAAAGUUAUAUGACUUAGGGAUCCUUUGGAUUACAUGAUUUUUGAAGGAAAAAUAUUGGGGUGUACUGUUUAGUGAAGGAAAGUUUCCUAUCCUAUGGUUUGGAAGCACUACUAUUCCAUAGGAUUUCCUAUGCUAUGUGUAGAUUCCAUAGGAUUUGUAACAUCCACUCAUACCUCUUGGAAAAAUUCAUAUGCACCAAAUAUGAGGAGUUGAAUGCUGAUGCUAGUAACCAAUGGUCAAUUAUGGCUUGUUCUACCCAAACCCAAAGAGAGCAAACACAUGCAUUUGGUGUUAUUUUUAUUCAAUCUUGAUAUUUCUGCAAAAUGAAUCAUCACUUCUAUGUUUUACAUCCUUUGUUUUGCACAUGCAGCCCUAUAUUAUUUAUAUAUUUUUUCUAUUCCUAUAUUUUUUAAAUCCUACCUUCGAAAGGAGCCCUUAGAAUUUGGAACGAGGAGGUAUAUAGAAGGCGGUGCAUUAUUGACAUUGACACCACUCCACGCGUUGGUGAUUACGGUGUUUGGAUUCCUAUGGCUAAACUUUAGUCCAUGUCAUAACGGAUAUUUAGACACUAACUAGGUGUAUUAAAUUAAAAAUAGACUAAUUACAUAAAUGAAAACUAAUUCACAAGACGAGUCUAUUAAGUACAAAUAAUUCGUGAUUAGCCCAUAUGAUGCUACAACAAACAUGUGCUAAUCAUGACUUAAUUAGACUUAGGCCUUGUUUAGAUCCAAAAACUUUUUGGAUUUUGAUACUGUAGCAUUUUCGUUUUUAUUUGACAAACAUUAUCCAAUCAUGGAGCAACUAGGCUUAAAAGAUUUGUCUCGUGAUUUACAAGUAAACUGUGCAAUUAGUUAUCUUUUUUAUCUACAUUUAAUAUUCCAUGCAUUUGCCGCAAGAUUCGAUGUGAUGGGGAAUCUUGUAAAGUUUUGGGUUUUUGGGUGUAUCUAAACAAGGCCUUAAUAGAUUCAUCUCAUGAAUUAGUCUUGGUUUGCGUAAUUAGUUUUAUAAUUAGCUCACAUUUACUUCUCUCAAUUGUUAUCUAAACAUCCGAGUAAAGUUUAGGCCUUGUUUAGUUCACCUCAAAAACCAAAAACUUUUCAAGAUUUUCCAUCACAUCGAAUCUUGCGGCAUAUGCAUGGAGCAUAAAAUAUAGAUAAAAACAAAAACUAAUUGCACAGUUUAUUUGUAAAUCGUGAGACGGAUCUUUUAAGCCUAGUUACUAUAUGAUUAGACAAUGUUUGUCAAAUAAAAACAAAGUGCUACAGUGUCGAAAUUCAAAAAAAAUUGGAUGUAAACAAGGCCUUAGCACUUGCUAGGAAGGAAAGUGCUUGCCUGGCAGUAUGUUGAUCGUAAAUUAGGUGAUGGUCAGACACUGAGAAAACAGGUACUCGUAAUUCUAGAACCGAGAACCACGCGUGAUUGGCAAAGGCAGCCGGCGCAGGCACGCUAGCUGGGAACGCCGAAUAUGCGGCUUGCUUGUUGGGACGACCGGUGGCCGCCGCACCUUUGAUCCAUCUGCAUAUCUCAUCAGGCAUCUCGAUCGAUCGGCACAGUAUAUUCGGCCUAUCGUCAUCCAUCUGACAUUUUGACUAUCUCAUCCCACAUGUAAUGUCUGCGAUUGUCAUCGAGUAUUCCAAAUUAAUAAUCCUGUCAUUCGGCGACAAUCGGGCCGGGUGAUUAUUAUUAUGCACGUAGUCGAUCGAUCUAAUAUAUGAUAGAAUUACGAGAGAACAAGGCAUCUGUUGUGGAGAUAUACAUAUAUAUAGCUAAUAUAUAUAACUUCAUCGCCAUGUCCGCCAUGCGUCGUUGUCAUCAUCAUCCUCCUCCUCCUCCUUGAUUACUCUUGCUCCACUUACUCGUGCUAGCAAGCUCGUACAUGAUUGAUGAGCUACAGUUGCUGUGUGUAGUAGUAGUAGUUUUAGAGUUAUCAUGGAGCUGUUCGCUGAUCUGGAAAAUAAAUUAUUGUUGACUGAUUUAUUGUAAGAGAAAAACACUGUUCGCUGAUAGAAAAAAGUACGGCUGAAAAGAAAAGAGAACAGGCUUUCACAAAUUAUUAGUAGUUCUCAAUCAUAUAGCCAGCGGAAAAAGACACACAAGACACUAGUAUAAUACUAGAAUAUACGCAAUUAUUAUAUAUACUAUGUAUGUAUGUAUGUAUGUAUGUACGGAGCUUGCAUUGAUGCAGUGGUGUUGGUUGGCGAGGCUCGGCAGCCGCGGCGCUGUCGUCGUCGUGUACAUGUAGGUCCUCAACUCCUCAUUUAGUCAUGUGUUCCAUGCGCGGCGCGCGCAUCUCAUCUCCUUGUUCUUUGUUAUUGUUUGCAGCAUCGUAAUUAACAUUUCUUCCUUCAUCCGUCAAUCACCCACCACACACGCAUCAUCCGUCCGUCAUCUUCUCCUCCUCGCUGGCUGAUGAGAUGAUGAUGACAUCUAUAUAUCCAAGAAUAUGCAUGCCGCAUAAUGUGUGUAUCGACAAGAUCACCAUUUUUUGGACGCAUAAUAAUAUACUCUCAUGCACGUGGGUGUGGAUCGGCGUAUGAGAUUAUUGUCGGUCGAUUCCUGGUAAAUUUUAGUCACAUUAAUUCAUGCAUGGAGGGCCUCCCAUAGUCCCAGCUAUAAUGGACGAUACACGUACUGGAUUACUGUAUCGAUCACUGCAUCAUUAUUCUUUUUCUUGAUCCCAGUGUUCGUGACUUCGCUGUUUGGUUUUGUUUGGUGAAGUUUACCGUGUGCCACAUCGAAUAUUUAGACACGUGUAUGAAGUACUAAAUAUAGACUAUUUACGAAACUAAAAACACAACUAGAGAGAAAUUUAUGAGACGAAUCUUUUAAGCCUAAUUAGCUCAUGACUGAACAAUAAUUUUUAAAUAAGAUAAAAAUACUAUAAUAUCCGUUAAACUUUAACACCCCCUAACCAAGCACCCUCAAAGAGUGCCUUUCACGGUGUCAUCAUCAGAGAAAUAGUCAUCACGAGGCAUGUUGGAUUAUUUGAACUACUUGAAAUAGUGUUAUUUUUUAUAAUGUGUUAUUUUUUAUAAUGGUCAGAAAAGCAUUGGACUUUGGAAAAGAAACUUCAAAGAUGAACUUUACAUUGUGUGUACCAAAGCCAAAGCAACAAGCAGAAGCACCUUAACCAGUUUAUGGAGAGAUAGUUUUACUUAGUUAUUUCCUUGUUUUUGCUUUGGGCCUAGUUGCCUUGUACUUGCUCUUUGUACACAACAUUCUCUUGGGCAUCUUGAUCCUUUCAGAACGUAUCCCAUGUUCUAGUUUCUAAUUUUUGUGAAGGAAACAAGGAACUGAAACAUACAAUGUAUCAACUUUUUUUUUUGAAGGAAACGAGGAACUGAAACGUUUCGGAUUCAAGCAGCUGAACACUAUUUGGAGCUAUUUCUAGUGAAUCACAUGAGAGACGGAUCCGAUUCUAACAUCCAAACACAAUGCAGUGCAAGCAGUUACUUACAAUCUUACAGGCCUAAUCUGUAUGUAUUCAUCUCAAUCUAUAUGUGUUGAAGUGGAUUUGAAUGAAAUUCUACUCCAAUCCACUUCAAUACAUGUGAAUUGAAGUGGAUACACAUGCACCUAAAUAAGACCUUAAAAGGAACCAUAUAUCUCGUCCCAUCUUGGAUGAUUCCUCCAUGCAAACAAGCACAAAAGAUAGCAACCGAUCAAUACUUCCUACGAGCAUCAAUCUGUUCUAACUUAUGCAGUGCAUUGACCAAUGACCAACACCAACAGAGAUGAAAGAACAGAUGAGCUGAAUAUGCAGGCGCCCAACUACGGGUCACCGCUAGUGGUGAGCAGGAAAGUUGCUGGGGCAUUUAAGCUGUAUGUGACAUGCCUAUUAUCAUCGCUCAUAGUGUUGUUUGGUCGUGCCUGUCUGAAAAAAGAAGGAAUAGAGAGAAAAGACAAUCAUUGCACACAACAUUGGCGAAAUGGACCCAAAUGUGCUGGAUAAAAGACAAUAAUGACAUCUUCAAUAUAAUUACGAUGAAGGUCAAAGAUUGAAAAUAGGGAUGUGCAUAUGCAUGUAGGAAUGUGUUAGAUUUAAUGUGGACUUGUCCAAUAUUUUAAUUAAUUAGAUCGAAUAAAAUCCUAAAAUCUAGAUUAAAUAUUGCGUGCAUUAUAUGAUUUAGUCCUAUAUGGGAUUAUAGUUGAAUGUUAACUUGAUUUAUAUGUGUGGAUUGUGUUUGCCUACAUUGAUAUUGAGAAGUUGAGAAAAGAUGAAGGCGUGCCACACGCACGCAACUGUCAUUGCCGAGCUGAGCCCGACUCGAUGUGGUAUUAUAGUUGGUUUUGCCACUCAAGCCGGUUAAUGACACGAGUUGGAAGUUUUAGGAGUUUCCGCUUAUAAGGACAGCUGCUCAUGAUAACAGAAGUCGUGAGCAUCUCUUCUCUAUCUCUUGCAGCAGCAGCAGCAACAACAACAACAACAACAACAACAACAACAACAACAACAACAACAACAACAACACCACCACCACCACCACCAACAACAACAACAACAACAACAACACUACAAAAAAAAAAGAGAAAGAAGGGUCAGAUACGGUGAAAUGGACAACAUAUAGGGCACCGAAACAUGUGAUUUCGCGAAUCGAGCCGUCAUCAAGAGAGGAGGCGGCCAUGGCAAGCAUACCUGCUUAGGGUUUGGCCCGAGGCGAGCGACGGAGCGAGGCGAAAAGGGAAUUGAAACGGCGGCGCCGGGUGUUUAUAUAUGAGCGGGGAGCGGUGUCGAAGCAAAACCCUAGAACGAGCUCCCGAUGGAUGACGCGUGUUAAUCUUGGAACCGUCGGAUGUGCGGAUUCGGACGUUUUGGGCCAUUGGGCCUCUUCCAGAUGUAUGUGGGCCAUAUUUGUGGCUUUGCCACUGAUCAGGGCUUCCAAUAGUGACAUAAGGAAAAUGUGUUAUAGUCGAAUUUUCCUCAUAUAGAACUUUAAAAUCAAACAUUUUAACCUCUAAACUUUCAAGACUAUUCAAAUUACCUCCUGUGUUGAAGUGGAUUUGAACGUGGUUUCAUUCUAUUUUUCUUAAUAAAAUCCAAUAAACGUUUUUAAAAAAAUAUAGACUUGGCUCUACAAAAAUGGGGGAGGGGGUAUCCAAAAAAUCUAGUAAAUUCUAACAUCAUUAUGAUUGAUAUAUAAAGAGGCUUUAAAAACUUUAUAUGACAAAAAUAUAAGAUGUAAUUAGCAUGAAUGCAACAUAUUUUAAUGUUGAAUGCAUGUAUGCUUUGCACUUGCGAUGGUUUUGUCUUAUGUUUCUUGUUGUGGAAAGUUUCAAAAAUGCAUUUAUACAUCGGUUACAAUGAUUUGGGAAUUUUCCGUAUUUUUAGAUUUAUAUAUUUCUGUUUUCCUAGAGCUAAAAUCUAUUUCUUGGAAGAUGCUACAUAUAUGAGUUCUAAAUAUUUUAUUAGAAUUUGUUGUAUACUAAUUUAUACCUAUAAUUUUUAUCGGAAUUUUUAGAAACUUAAGGACAUUUUUCCAUGUUUAAAUAUAGGGUUUGUAAAAACACAACAACAAAUGUGCGUGAUCCUGAUAGGUAAAAUAGGAAAAGAAGCGUAAACAAAAUACAAUGACUGAUGUAAGUUAUUGUUUGAUUUGAUUAGCUGGAUGCAGCAAAUUCAUUUUAUAUAUAGAGAGGUGUGAGUUUCCCUAUGGAUUUCGAUCAUGUCCGGCUGCUUUACCAUGUCUAAGUCCUUGUUUUUUAAACUUCGAUUAAUAACAUGUUGUUUACAUAUAUAAUAUAAAUAAUAUAAUAAAAAAGACAGCAUUUUGCUUCCACAUUUAUGGAGAGAAAGAGCGAUUUUGGGUCGUGGAAAAUAUCUGAGUUCCGAACUGGAGUUUGCAGAAAAGAUAAAAAGAACUUGAUUCUUUUUUUGCUAAACCAACACUUUUAAGAAUCAGACUACGUAUUAUCGCUAGACAUGUUGUUUUACAUACCUCAGUACAUAUAGUUGUAGAUUAGAAUUCCUAUUCAAGUUAUUUAUGAUCAGAGUUCUAUUAGAAUUAGGAUUUCUAACUACGUAAGUUACCUCAUCUAUACCUAUAUAUAUAUAUAUAUAUAUAUAUAUAUAUAUAUAGAGGCAAAAUUUCAGCCUCUUUUUUGGUUGGAUUUUUUUUCGUCUGGCCAGAUUCUUAUAUGCACUCGCGUUCCAUCGCUGCCAGCGCACUUGUUGCCUCACGCCCGCUCCCGUCCCUGGCUCAUCCCCCAGCCGGCGGAGCCUAGGCGAGGAUGGGAACAGCGCGCUCGCUCAGGCAGGCGGGCCAUCGACGCUUGCCCCGGCGGCGGCCCAUCCUGCUGCGCUCGAGGAGGCCCAGGCGGUGCAUCUUAAGGAGGACGCUGUCAGAAACGCGGAGGCGCGCAAUGACGAGCAGAUCCUCGAGAACAGCGUUGUAGUGCGCCGUGUCGAUCUCGGCGGCGGCGGCGGCGGAGCCCCAUGGCACGGCAACAGUAAGGAAGAUCAAGGUGCUACAACGGCAACGACGUCCAGCUUUGUUGGUCGUGGCAGCAACAGCAAGACGGCAGCCCAAUCACCUUGGUCACGGCGACAACUUUGUUUCUUCCCCAAUCACCUACACUUAAUUUGUUUGCCAAUCUCUUGCUAUAGAGUUCUUCCUAAUCGUUAGAAGAUGUUUCCGUUUCUUCCCCAAUCAUCUGCUGCUAUAUAAUUUCAUAGUGUGUGGCCAGAAUAUGCAAAGCUUUUGACUCCUGGAUAAAUAGAUAGAUAAACUGGUCAGAAUAUGGAUUGCAAUGACCUGCUGAAUAAGUUCAAUUGCUAAUUUCCCUAUAACUAAGUGCAUUUUUGUUUGCUCAAACCGUGCUGCAAGAAAAAAUAUGGGACCUACAUUCUAUUAUCAAUAAGUACUCUCUGUUAUGAACCUAACAUCAGAAAUCAUGAAUUGCUGCUGUCAUUUGAUAAUUUUCAGUUUACCAAACCAAGUACUACCUUGUUUUUCAGAUUCUGAAAAUAGAGAGCAUGCAUGUGUAACGGUUGUGUCAACUUACUUUGAAUUAUGUAUCCACUAUGUGGUUUCUAUUAGGCAUGAUAGGCAUUCAAGAAUCUAAUAGGUUUCUGUUAGGCAUGAAAAUUAGACAAACUGCUAAAGUGUUUUAGAGAAGUAGAGCAGUCUUGAAUUGUUCCUACUGAAAGCACUAUGACUUUGAUGUUGCUUGGUAGUGUUCAUUUUCAUAUAACUAGGCAACUGAAUUAGCAGUAUGUAACUUAUGUGCAUCAUUUUGAAACUUAAUGGCUUUGUGAACUAUUUUUUGUAGGGAUAAAGAUUAUGUGCCCAUAAACUGUUUCAUGUGGUGUUCAUAUGCUGAACUGGAUGUAAACCUUGACAAAGUGGUGUUCAUAUUGUGGUCACUAAAUUGAGAUGAUUAUCAACUGUUAUGCUUCACCUGAACUGUACACUGUGUCUAUAACAAAUCGAUGAAUGGACGACACCUACUCACGAUCUUAAGAUGUUCACGUUGCUGGCCCUAGAGCUGGAGGAAUUUACGGUCUCCAAUCAGCCAUAUUUGAAGGUUUAUUCUGGUGGAGACCUGUCGUGUGUGGCGAACCUCAAGAUUGGCCCGUGGUCACACAUGCAUGGCUACUCUGAUUACGAUGACAUGAACACUAAGCUUUUACCUCAUUCAGCGUUGCAGGUUCACCCGAUGUGCCUUGUUGAGCGUCUUGAAAUUCCACAGGUACGUGUAUACAUGCAUGAUAACAUAUGUCAUGAUAGUGGCCUACAAACUCGUCGCAAACUAAUAAAACACUACAAGGGACGAACCAAAUGUAAACCAGCCCGGCCAUAUAAAUCUCAGUUUGAUUGUCCUUUAGAGAGGGCGGUCAGGUUCUUUGAUGCCUCAUCUGUCACAUACUCAUAUUUGAACCAUUGAUCCACCCAUAAGAAAUAAAGAUUUCUACUGCUAAAUUGUGAUGUAAUUUUGAUUAGAAAUUUUAUUAAAAGCUAGAUUAGCUAAAGGUUCAACUGAUAAAAUCCACCCAUAAGAAAUAAAGAUUUCUACUGCUAAAUUGUGGAUGUAAUUUUGAUUAGAAAUUUUAUUAAAAGCUGGAUUAGCUAAAGGUUCAACUGAUAAAAAAUAUGAAUUGAAAUAUUAAGUAGGUUUUUGUCUAAUCCAAUUUAAAUAAAUGUAUAUCUGGAAUCUCCUGAUAAGGACUAGCAUGUGAAAAAUCUAGAGAGGUCUUCUGUCAUAAUCACCAGAGGACAGAUCAAUCCUUGACAUGUUUGCAUAACUCCUUGUCGACAUUAAUCAUAGAUCAAAUACGUAUAUUUGUGGGUCCUAAAAGAUCACAAAACUCGAUAUUUUAACUAAAGGAACACAUGAAUAGUAUAAAAAUUAAUUAAAGUUAUUGUUUAUUGCAUCUAAAUAUUUAUGCGCUUUGCAAUAGGAGAAAAAUCCAUCAAAAAUAUAUUUUAAUUUGAUAGAGGCUUAGUAUUGUCAUAUUGUCGCUGACAUUAACUUAUAUUAUGGAUGUCAUGGUCAUAACAAAAUAAAUUAUAGCCUUCAAGUUUUAUGGAGUGAAACAUAAAUAAUAUAUAUAUCGGUCCUAUCGUCGUUUUUAUGAACAUGUUAGUUUUUUUUCUCCCGUCGCAACGCACGGGCAUGUUUUGCUAGUAUCAUAUAAAAUAGGAAUAGCUCUAGGCUGAUACAAAAUAGGAGGGAUCUAGAAUAGAUAUAGAUAUGAUGAAAAAGAAUAAAGCUGACCGGUUAAACUCCAAUCCGGAGCAUCUAAUAUGUAAACUGAUGGCCUCAAGCGGAGAGCCCGCUCCUCGCCGGCUUGCCUCUCCUCUGUUGAGACAGUGGUUGUUUGUGGCGUAGUUGAGGAGAGAAGAUGAGGUCGAGGAGGUAACGCUGAGGGAGGUGAAGGCAGCACGUCUUGUGCUCGCGCCGAGCUUGGCCCGUGUGAAGCGAGAGAGGAUUCUAUGAUGCAGCAUCUUAGAUGCUUUAAUCACCCGUGCGAGCCGGCCUCCUAAGAGCAACUCCAGCAGUGGCACCUAAAUCAGGGCCUCUACUUUUGAUUUGGGUGCUGCCUCCUAUUUUUAUUGGCUCAUAUUUUUGAUUCUACUCCAACAACGCCCCCCAAAUUGAGGCCCUCAAACCUAUUUCGCCAGACAAUGACAAAUGGGACCUGUUUGUCAUUGUCUCUUCUUCCUUUGUACAUGGAGCUCGCCGGAGAUGGAUUCGACUGGAGCUUGUGCUCGAGCUUGAGGGGCGUCGCGUCCGCACGGCGGAGUAGGGUCUCGCACGGCAGGGGGCAGCGCAACCACACGGCAAGGGGCGUCGCGCCCGCGCGGCGGAGCAGGGCUCCAGCAGUGGGGCAGCGCGAUUGCGGGCGAGGGACAGUGCGCCCGUGCCGUGGAGCACGAGCUCACACGUCGGGGGGCGCCUACACCGAGGGAGAAGAGCUCGCGCCGAGGAGGGAGUGGCGCACAGGGAGCCCACGCGGCGGAGAGCGGCAGGGUCGCCGGUGAUGUCGUGGGGAAGAGAGCUCACCAGCCGAGGAAGGUGGGCCGCCGCGCCAGACGUGAGGCGGAUAGCCGCGCUCAUCGGAUGGGAGGGAGACGCGCCCGAGCAGAGAAGACCGUACGACGCGGGGCUGAACGAGCAGAUGGGGGCCGGUUUGUUGGGCCAACAGGAAUUGGGGCUGCAGAGAGGAUUUGGGGUCCCAACUAAAUAUAUUGGAGCUGCAGGGAGGAUUUGGGGUCCCAACUAAAUAUGAAGUCUUGAGUAGAGAUCCUGCUGGAGUAUGAUUUUUGACCUGAGCAUCCAUAUUUAGCUAUUAAAGCUUAAAUAGGGACUCUGCUGGAGUUGCUCUAACUGCGUCUAGUCAAAGAAGGCAGGUUGCAGUUGCAACCGGCACGGUGGCCCGAGUGGGCCAGCGAAACAAACGCACCCUAAAAAGUCAAGAGCAUGCGCCUUGUUCAUUUAGGUUUAUAAACCGAAUAUGUCAGCGAUUGAUUCAGCAGUGUUUUUCUUUUAAAAAAAAAUUCUUAAAAAAUCAGCUAAAAAUACUUUCUGCCAUGGCUAUCAGCUCUUUAAAAAUGUUUGGAAAAAAACAUAUCUUUAAUUUUCUUUUUACAAUGCAUGAACACAACGUUAUGCAGCCAAGGACAUUUAACUAUCGCUACUAAGGUCUUAUUAUUUAGAUGCACCCAAGGUUCAAAAAAUUUAUAAAAUUUACCAUCACAUCGAAUCAAUAAAUAUAGAUAAAAAAUAACUAACUAUAACUUGUGAGACGAAUCUUGUAAGCCUAAUUAGUUUAUAGUUAAUCAAUAAUUGUCAAAUACAAGCGAAAGUGCUAUAAUAUCAAACUUCAAAAACUUAUGUAUGCAUGGAUAUUUAUGAAUGCAUUAAUUAUUAGAAAUGGUGAUCAAUCUCCCCGAGGGCGGAGCAGCCAUGGUGGAAACUCAUGCUACCAUGAAAUUAGAAAAGAAAUGAGUUAUAAGACGCAUGUUAUAUUGAGCCUCAAGCAAUAUAUAUAGAGAGAGAAUACAAAGGCUUUAGUACCACUCCAAUAUCCUGCCAACCAAACAUACUCUAACAAGAGUUUUAGUUCAAGACAACCUCGGUUCAAAAUCCUAGCAUCAUAAUUCAUAAACAGCAGACUUCACAAAGAUCGAGCAGGCUUAGAACACCCUGUAUGGUUUCCCCAUGGUGCUCUUGACGUAAAGGCAUCUCA
rnacentral:lncRNA from 1 species